GUUAAGCGACUAAGCGUACACGGUGGAUGCCCUGGCAGUCAGAGGCGAUGAAGGGCGUGCUAAUCUGCGAUAAGCGCCGGUAAGGUGAUAUGAACCGUUAUAACCGGCGAUACCCGAAUGGGGAAACCCAGUGUGAUUCGUCACACUAUCAUUAACUGAAUCCAUAGGUUAAUGAGGCGAACCGGGGGAACUGAAACAUCUAAGUACCCCGAGGAAAAGAAAUCAACCGAGAUUCCCCCAGUAGCGGCGAGCGAACGGGGAGGAGCCCAGAGCCUGAAUCAGCAUGUGUGUUAGUGGAAGCGUCUGGAAAGGCGCGCGAUACAGGGUGACAGCCCCGUACACAAAAGCGCAUGUGCUGUGAGCUCGAUGAGUAGGGCGGGACACGUGGUAUCCUGUCUGAAUAUGGGGGGACCAUCCUCC
rnacentral:rRNA from 1 species